rnacentral:lncRNA from 1 species
GAACAUUCUAGUUAGUAGGGACAGAAUACGUGAAAUCUUGAGUGUGUAGAAAAGAAUGAGAAAUAGGCAGUGCCUGUCCUGUGUGACUAAGACAACAGGUUUCUAGAUACACAAGCUUGAAGUGCCUUUUCAGUGCCUGGCCCCCAACUCCUUAACAGUUCUGCACCAAGCUCAGAUUGAAAAGGCCAACAAUGAACUCCUCACCUUUUCUUCCAAGGCAGAAAAGAACAAGUGACUGGAGUGUGCUCUGCAAACACUUGAGGAAAGAGGAAACCAAAAGGUCAGAGAGAAGGUGGAAACUCUCAAGAAUAAAAGCAAAAUGAGCUUUCCAGAUGAGAAGAAAAGGUGAGGAAAGAGAGCAGACAGAGAUGGCCUUUGACACCCCAGCAAAACUGGCCCUGUGGCUACUCAAAGAAAAACGCAUGUGACUAGUACAGCAAAAGGUCACAUUCCUACUGUUUGUAAGAUAUACUCACUGCAUGAGAAUAGCCA